rnacentral:rRNA from 1 species
GACGAACGCUGGCGGCGUGCUUAACACAUGCCAGUCGAACGGAAAGGCCCUGCUUUUGUGGGGUGCUCUAGUUGCGAACUGGUGAGUAACACUUGAGUAACCUGCCCUUGACUUUGGGAUAACUUCAUGAAACUUGGGCUAAUACCGGAUAGGAGCUCCUGCUUCAUGGUGGGGGUUGGAAAGUUUCGGCGGUUGGGGAUGGACUCGCGUCUUAUCAGCUUGUUGGUUGGGUAGUGGCUUACCAAGGCUUUGACGGGUAGCCGGCCUGAGAGGGUGACCGGCCACAUUGGGACUGAGAUAAGGCCCAGACUACUACGGGAGGCAGCAGUGGGGAAUGUUGCACAAUGGGCGGAAGCAUGAUGCAGCAACGCAGCGUGCGGGAUGACGGCCUUCGGGUUGUAAACCGCUUUCGCCUGUGACGAAGCGUGAGUGACGGUAAUGGGUAAAGAAGCACCGGCUAACUACGUG